rnacentral:rRNA from 1 species
CCUACGGGAGGCAGCAGUGGGGAAUUUUGCGCAAUGCUCGUAAGAGUGACGCAGCGACGCCGCGUGAAUGACGAAGGCCUUCGGGUCGUAAAGUUCUUUCGACAGGGAAGAAAAUGCCUAUAAGUAACUGUGUAUGUAUUGACGGUACCUGUAUAAGCAGCCCCGGCUAACUCCGUGCCAGCAGCCGCGGUAAUACGGAGGGGGCGAGCGUUGUUCGGAGGGACUGGGCGUAAAGAGCACGUAGGCGGUGUUGUAAGUCAUUAGUCAAAUAAUAGAGCUCAACUUUAGUAAGGCUAGUGAUACUAUAAUACUAGAGUAUCAGAGAGGAUUGCAGAAUGCCUGGUGUAGCGGUGAAAUGCGUAGAUAUCAGGAGGAAUACCGUUAGCGAAGGCGGCAAUCUGGCUGGAAACUGACGCUGAGGUGCGAAAGCGUGGGUAGCAAACAGGAUUAGAUACCCUUGUAGUC